rnacentral:tRNA from 1 species
ACUAUUUUGGCAGAAAAGAUGUAGUGAUUUUAGAAGUCAUAAAUGUAUAAUUAUAAUAUAUAAGUAGUA